rnacentral:rRNA from 1 species
CCUACGGGAGGCAGCAGUGAGGAAUAUUGGUCAAUGGCCGAGAGUCUGAACCAGCCAAGUCGCGUGAAGGAAGACUGCCCUAUGGGUUGUAAACUUCUUUUGUCGGGGAGUAAAGCGAGGCACGUGUGCCUUUUUGAGAGUACCCUAUGAAAAAGCAUCGGCUAACUCCGUGCCAGCAGCCGCGGUAAUACGGAGGAUGCGAGCGUUAUCCGGAUUUAUUGGGUUUAAAGGGUGCGUAGGUGGAGGUUCAAGUCGGUGGGCAAAUUGCGGGGCUCAACCCCGAACUGCCGUUGAUACUGGAAGCCUUGAGUGCAGGAGAGGUAGGCGGAAUGCGUGGUGUAGCGGUGAAAUGCAUAGAGAUCAUAAAGAACUCCGAUUGCGAAGGCAGCUUACCAAACUACGACUGACGUUGAGGCACGAAAGUGUGGGGAGCAAACAGGAUUAGAUACCCGAGUAGUC